UACAGGGGGGGCAAGCGUUGUUCGGAAUUACUGGGCGUAAAGGGCGCGUAGGCGGAAUGGCAAGUCGGUCGUGAAAUCCUUCGGCUCAACCGAAGAACGUCGAUCGAAACUGCCGUUCUUGAGGAUUGCAGAGGAGACUGGAAUUCCCGGUGUAGCGGUGAAAUGUGUAGAGAUCGGGAGGAACACCGGUGGCGAAGGCGGGUCUCUGGGCAAUCCCUGACGCUGAGGCGCGAAAGCGUGGGGAGCAAACGGG
rnacentral:rRNA from 1 species